UACGUAGGGUGCGAGCGUUAUCCGGAUUUAUUGGGCGUAAAGCGUAUCGUAGGUGGACAUAUGCGUGGUGGGUUUAAGCCUGGGGCUCAACUCCAGAAAAGCUCAUCAUACGGUAUGUCUUGAGUCUGUCAGAGGAAGCUGGAAUUCUCGGUGGAGGGGUGAAAUCCGUAGAUAUCGAGAGGAACGCCAAGGGCGAAGGCAAGUUUCUGGGACAGUACUGACACUCAUGAACGACAGCUAGGGGAGCAAA
rnacentral:rRNA from 1 species